AGAGUUUGAUCAUGGCUCAGAACGAACGCUGGCGGCGUGCUUAACACAUGCAAGUCGAGUGCGCGUGCCGUAGCAAUACGGUAUGGCGCACGGCGCACGGGUGCGUAACACGUGGGCAAUCUGCCCUCCGAUGGGGAAUAACUCCGGGAAACCGAAGCUAAUUCCGCAUAACAUUCCCUGGACUCCGGUUCGGGGAUUCAAAGCAGCAAUGCGUCGGAGGAGGAGCCCGCGCCCGAUUAGCUAGUUGGUGAGGUAACGGCUCACCAAGGCAAUGAUCGGUAGCUGGUCUGAGAGGAUGGCCAGCCACACUGGAACUGAGACACGGUCCAGACUCCUACGGGAGGCAGCAGUGGGGAAUCUUGCGCAAUGGGCGAAAGCCUGACGCAGCGACGCCGCGUGGGGGAUGAAGCUUCUCGGAGUGUAAACCCCUUUCGACUGGGACGAAUGCCCGCAAGGGAGUGACGGUACCAGUAGAAGAAGCCCCGGCUAACCACGUGCCAGCAGCCGCGGUAAGACGUAGGGGGCCAGCGUUGUUCGGAAUUACUGGGUGUAAAGGGUUCGUAGGCGGUGUGGCAAGUCGGGAGUGAAAUCUAUGGGCUUAACUCAUAGACUGCUUCCGAAACUGCUGUGCUCGAGUGUGGGAGAGGCGCGUGGAAUUGCAGGUGUAGCGGUGAAAUGCGUAGAUAUCUGCAGGAACACCCGUGGCGAAAGCGGCGCGCUGGACCACUACUGACGCUGAGGAACGAAAGCUAGGGGAGCAAACAGGAUUAGAUACCCUGGUAGUCCUAGCCCUAAACGAUCAGGACUUGGGGUGCCGCACGUUCGUGCGUCGUCCCGGAGCUAACGCGUUAAGUCCUGCACCUGGGGAGUACGGUCGCAAGACUGAAACUCAAAGGAAUUGACGGGGCCCGCACAAGCGGUGGAACAUGUGGUUCAAUUCGACGCUACGCGAGGAACCUUACCUG
rnacentral:rRNA from 1 species